UGUUUCGGCUAGGGGGUCAUCCCGACUUACCAACCCGAUGCAAACUACGAAUACCGAAGAAUGUUAUCACGGGAGACACACGGCGGGUGCUAACGUCCGUCGUGAAGAGGGAAACAACCCAGACCGCCAGCUAAGGUCCCAAAGUCACAGUUAAGUGGGAAACGAUGUGGGAAGGCACAGACAGCCAGGAUGUUGGCUUAGAAGCAGCCAUCAUUUAAAGAAAGCGUAAUAGCUCACUGGUCGAGUCGGCCUGCGCGGAAGAUGUAACGGGGCUAAACUGUGCACCGAAGCUGCGGCAGCGACACUAUGUGUUGUUGGGUAGGGGAGCGUUCUGUAAGCCUGCGAAGGUGGCCUGUGAGGGUUGCUGGAGGUAUCAGAAGUGCGAAUGCUGACAUAAGUAACGAUAAUGCGGGUGAAAAGCCCGCACGCCGGAAGACCAAGGGUUCCUGUCCAACGUUAAUCGGGGCAGGGUGAGUCGACCCCUAAGGCGAGGCCGAAAGGCGUAGUCGAUGGGAAACAGGUUAAUAUUCCUGUACUUGGUGUUACUGCGAAGGGGGGACGGAGAAGGCUAUGUUAGCCGGGCGACGGUUGUCCCGGUUUAAGCAUGUAGGCGGAGGUUCCAGGUAAAUCCGGUACCUUAUUAACGCUGAGGUGUGAUGACGAGGCACUACGGUGCUGAAGUAACAAAUGCCCUGCUUCCAGGAAAAGCCUCUAAGCAUCAGGUAACAUUGAAUCGUACCCCAAACCGACACAGGUGGUCAGGUAGAGAAUACCAAGGCGCUUGAGAGAACUCGGGUGAAGGAACUAGGCAAAAUGGUGCCGUAACUUCGGGAGAAGGCACGCUGAUAUGUAGGUGAAGCCCCUGCGGGUGGAGCUGAGAUCAGUCGAAGAUACCAGCUGGCUGCAACUGUUUAUUAAAAACACAGCACUGUGCAAACACGAAAGUGGACGUAUACGGUGUGACGCCUGCCCGGUGCCGGAAGGUUAAUUGAUGGGGUUAUCCGUAAGGAGAAGCUCUUGAUCGAAGCCCCGGUAAACGGCGGCCGUAACUAUAACGGUCCUAAGGUAGCGAAAUUCCUUGUCGGGUAAGUUCCGACCUGCACGAAUGGCGUAAUGAUGGCCAGGCUGUCUCCACCCGAGACUCAGUGAAAUUGAACUCGCUGUGAAGAUGCAGUGUACCCGCGGCAAGACGGAAAGACCCCGUGAACCUUUACUAUAGCUUGACACUGAACAUUGAGCCUUGAUGUGUAGGAUAGGUGGGAGGCUUUGAAGCGUGGACGCCAGUCUGCGUGGAGCCAACCUUGAAAUACCACCCUUUAAUGUUUGAUGUUCUAACGUUGGCCCCUUAUCGGGGUUGCGGACAGUGUCUGGUGGGUAGUUUGACUGGGGCGGUCUCCUCCCAAAGAGUAACGGAGGAGCACGAAGGUUAGCUAAUCCUGGUCGGACAUCAGGAGGUUAGUGCAAUGGCAUAAGCUAGCUUGACUGCGAGCGUGACGGCGCGAGCAGGUGCGAAAGCAGGUCAUAGUGAUCCGGUGGUUCUGAAUGGAAGGGCCAUCGCUCAACGGAUAAAAGGUACUCCGGGGAUAACAGGCUGAUACCGCCCAAGAGUUCAUAUCGACGGCGGUGUUUGGCACCUCGAUGUCGGCUCAUCACAUCCUGGGGCUGAAGUAGGUCCCAAGGGUAUGGCUGUUCGCCAUUUAAAGUGGUACGCGAGCUGGGUUUAGAACGUCGUGAGACAGUUCGGUCCCUAUCUGCCGUGGGCGCUGGAGAAUUGAGGGGGGCUGCUCCUAGUACGAGAGGACCGGAGUGGACGCAUCACUGGUGUUCGGGUUGUCAUGCCAAUGGCAUUGCCCGGUAGCUAAAUGCGGAAGAGAUAAGUGCUGAAAGCAUC
rnacentral:rRNA from 1 species